CAGCACGUCUUGAUCUUCCAUCUCCUGCAACUGACCGACACCUGUCUGACCUUUGACUAUAUCAGCAUCAGACUGAUGAAACAGCUGAUGACCUGUGUACACAGCCAAAGGCUGGUAUUCAGGCACUAUCCUGUCUGGUACAAAUUGCGCCAGUGAGACGAUCAUUGAUUAACGACAUAGAGCGUGCCAAAUUUCUCAACGAGCUAGUGACUGAUGUUUGCAGCAUUCUAGAAAACCCACAGAGCCUGUCACUGUUCAGGAGAGACGUGAACGACUCGCUGAAGGCGACCAACGGACAGAGUCCCACCCACUGUACACAGUUCCUGGACAUGAUGAGCUAGUACACAGCAGGCUGCACGUCAUGUGACCUCAUCAUGU